UUGGAGCUGCUGUUUUGUAGGUAUAUUAACCACUGUAUUUAUCUUGUAAUAUGUUUGAGCUUAUGCAUGAUUUUUGAUUCACAUUUUUCACCGUGGAUUUUCCUUCUGUAUGACAAUUGACAAAUGGCUAGUCCAAGCCAACAAUGGGCUGUUUGUGUCUAUGUCGCUUUCUUUGUAUCCUUAAGAGUUUUGUUGUGCUGGAGUACAAACUAUGAACUAGAAUUCAUCAUUCUAGUAUAUGGAGGAAUUUAACCUUUGCUCCUGAAGCUUUUUGGUGAAUAAAAAACUAUAUUGCUGUAGUAGAUUUGUUAUUUGAUUCAUGAGCAUGCAUAACAUUUGACUGUUGUUCUACUAGCCACUUCUUGUCCUGUUAGUCCAUUUUAUUUUUUAUGCACAAAGUGGCAGAAGAUAAUUCCGAUGCAGAACUACCUCCAUCCUGACCCUUCCUCUGUUUUCUCUAAACCAGAAAUGGCAUUUGAAGAAUAACCAAGGAUAUCAAGAAGCUUUUGGAUGUAGGCAAGCUUGGAGCUGCUGUUUCAAUGUCAUGCUUUGAUGGUUGUCUUUUGAGCUGUUGUUUCUAUGUGUAAUCCUUUAAGUCUGUUGGCUGUACCGGACUAUUUAAACUCUGAACUAUGCUGUGAUGCUUGAACUGUUGUUGGACUGUUAAGGGUUAUGAUGGAGGCCACUUUAUAACUAAUGUGUGCCUGUUAAGUUGGACAGAUGCAGUUUUAUUAAUCCCUAGAGCUUAUUUGCUGAAGUUUAUAUGAUCAAUCCUGAUGGUCGUUGUGCUGCUAUAUUUAUGCUCUGUUUUAUUUCAAAUCUUGUUUGAAUUUUGGCCGAAUUUCGGACAAAUUUUGGCCAAAUUUUCAAAUUUUGAUU
rnacentral:lncRNA from 1 species